UACGUAGGGUGCAAGCGUUAAUCGGAAUUACUGGGCGUAAAGCGUGCGCAGGCGGUUUUGUAAGUCUGUCGUGAAAGCCCCGGGCUCAACCUGGGAAUUGCGAUGGAGACUGCAAGCUUGAAUCUGGCAGAGGGGGGUAGAAUUCCACGUGUAGCAGUGAAAUGCGUAGAGAUGUGGAGGAACACCGAUGGCGAAGGCAGCCCCCUGGGUCAAGAUUGACGCUCAUGCACGAAAGCGUGGGGAGCAAACAGG
rnacentral:rRNA from 1 species